rnacentral:rRNA from 1 species
UAGGGAAUCUUCGGCAAUGGACGAAAGUCUGACCGAGCAACGCCGCGUGAGUGAAGAAGGUUUUCGGAUCGUAAAACUCUGUUGUUAGAGAAGAACAAGUACGUUAGUAACUGAACGUCCCCUGACGGUAUCUAACUAGAAAGCCACGGCUAACUACGUGCCAGCAGCCGCGGUAGUACGUAGGUUGCACGCGUUGUCCGGAUUUGUUGGGCGUAAAGCGAGCGCAGGCGGUUGCUUAAGUCUGAUGUGAAAGCCCCCGGCUCAACCGGGAAGGGUCAUUGGAAACUGAGAAACUUGAGUGUGGAAGAGUAGAGUGAAAUUCCAUGGUUAGCGUUGAAAUACGAAGAAAUAUGAAGGAACACAAGUGGCGAAGGCGGCUCUCUGGUCUGUAACUGACGCUGAGGCUCGAAAGCGUGGGGAGCAAACAGG